UAGAGGCCGCGGCGUUUUUACACAUGCCAGUCGCACGAGAACGCUUCAGCUUGCUGAAGUUAGUAAAGUGGCGCACGGGUGAGUAACGCGUGGGUAAUCUACCCUUGAAUUGGGGAUAACCCGCCGAAAGGCGGGCUAAUACCGAAUGACAUCUUGAAAACUUAUGUUUUCAGGAUCAAAGGUGGCCUCUACAUGUAAGCUAUUGUUUGGGGAUGAGCCCGCGUACCAUUAGCUUGUUGGUAGGGUAAUGGCCUACCAAGGCUACGAUGGUUAGCUGGUCUGAGAGGAUGAUCAGCCACACUGGAACUGACACACGGUCCAGACUCCUACGGGAGGCAGCAGUGAGGAAUUUUGCGCAAUGGGGGAAACCCUGACGCAGCAACGCCGCGUGAGUGAUGAAGGCUUUCGGGUCGUAAAGCUCUGUCAAGUGGGAAGAAAUCAUAUGGUGUUAAUACUGCCAUAUGUUGACGGUACCACUGAAGGAAGCACCGGCUAACUCCGUGCCAGCAGCCGCGGUAAUACGGGGGGUGCGAGCGUUAUUCGGAAUUACUGGGCNGUGAAGAGCGCGUAGGCGGGUCUUUUAAGUNAGGUGUGAAAGCCCGGGGCUCAACCCCGGAAGUGCACUUUGAC
rnacentral:rRNA from 1 species